rnacentral:tRNA from 1 species
AGAAGUUUAGGUAACACUUUUAAACCAGGGGCCUUCAAAGCCCCAAAUAGAACAAACUCUAACUUCUG